rnacentral:tRNA from 1 species
AUUUAUAUAGUUUAAUAAAAACAUUACAUUUUCAUUGUAAAAUUAAAAUAUUUUUUUUAUAAAUU